rnacentral:lncRNA from 1 species
CUGAGAGGCAGAUCUGGAAGGUCUCCAUGGUGAAGAAAGCAUCUAUUCUGCCGUCAUCACUGAAGUCUUUGGGACACUCCAACGGAUGGAGUGAGUUUUUGAAGACACGUUGAAUCAACGAUGAUUCAGGACAGGGUGUUUAUUCAUCCAACACAUUUUUGGGGGGCCCCUGCCCCGUAUCAUGUCCAGGGUAGGCUGGGGAUGCAGGAAGGCUUAGAUCCAAGGCUCCACCCUCAAGGAACCCCCCCAUUCCUGUGCAGAAGACAGAAAACAAGCAAGAAUACAAAAGAGCACACUCUCUGAUUCACGCCUCUAGCUGUAGAGGCGGCCAGCGGCGGUCAGCAAGCUGGCACACUCAAGGGUGUGAAAACCCAGCAGUCAUCUUAGAAAGGAAUGCUAGUACUGCCAGCUUCUUCCCUUCAAUCAUUUUUACAAUUAUUACAUUUCAUUCAUUCAUUCAUUCAUCAAAUGACCUCUCGAGGGCCUCGUGCUUGACACUUUGAGGGACAAGGAUGAACUUGACUCAUGUCUGCCUUUGAGGAAUCAGGCCGGUAAACAAACAUCACCAAACGCGCUAAGAUAUAGAUAUGUUUAUAAAUUUGUAUACUUAUGUAUACAAUCCACACACAUCUCAUGAGGUUCAUAUCUCAUGCCUCGCUGCAGGAGUUCAGAAGCAGAAAGGCUCAAUUUUGUUUAUAGGACCUGGGAAGGGCUUCUGAGAAGAGGAAGCAUUUCACUGGAGUUGAGCAGAAGCUCAUGAAGCUCAAGGAAGCUCUCCCAGCCCCAGGGGCAGCGGGAUACAUAGCCAAGCUGCUGGAAAGAGCAAGUGAUACGGCUGAGCAGAGGAACUUGGGAACAGCAUGGAGAUGGCCCCUUGGAGCUUGGAGACGAAAGAUGGGUCGUACACAGUCUGGAGUGGGUAGUGAAAGGCUCUGGCGCCUCUGCGAUGUUUAAAUAGCAUGUUUCAUUCGACAGCAUCCUCCCGGUGCCUCCACGUCAGCGAUGGGAUUCCCGCUUCUGUGCAUCCCUACAUGUAUCCUCAUUUAAUGGGGGGGGGGGAGGGAAUCCCCGUACGCAUAGUCUUUGGAGAGAAUUAUUUAUUAUAUGUUAUUGUCUGGAUACAGUGGUUAUGAGCCGUCAUUCUUCUCAGCCGUAGAAGAUCAUUAAUAGAGGAAGGAUCUAGAUGUACAGUGGGGAGGGGCUUGCUCAGGGUUUGAUUGCGAUGAUGGAGAAUACAAUAUCAAUCAUGCUUUAGGGAUGAUGAAAUGUGCAGCAGCAAAUCUAAGUGUCAUAUAUCAUAAGGAGGAUUUUGUCAAACAUCGUAUUUCAUUCAGCUGACACAGAGCCAUCAAACAUCUCAGAGUCAGUGUCAGCCUGGCUGCAUAAAUUUGGUGUCGAUUUUAUUGCUAUUUUGUUAAUGAAAUCUAAACAUUAAAUAUAUUGUAAUGAAACCGUGGAAUAAGUAGGCUUCCACCUGCUGUGGGCCUCAAAGAAAACAGAGUGGAAUGAAUGAUAAUUCCUGAGCCCAGUGGGGGAAAAAAAACAAAAACCUGUUAAAGUCAUCUAAGGCAUGCUCACUACGCGUCUUCUCCUCGAAUAUAGUUUUCCUGGGAAUCUAUGUCGCGAUAAGUCAUAGAUCCUUCUCUGGAAGCCAGGAUUGAUCGAUUGAUUGAUUUUUUUUAAUGUUAUUGAGUAGAGUAAACCAAAGCUAACGCUUUGUUUCUUUGAUUUCACGAUAACACAGAGAAGACAAAAAGGGGUCAAACCCCAGAGUCCUGCCUGGUGAAAUGCAUGAAGUUAGAAGCUAAACGAAACUCCAAAAUGGCAGUGUAGCCAAUCCAGCUUCAUUCUGUAAGCAUUUAUUUGUCUCCAGUCCUGUGCUGGGUACUCCACUGGUGAAUUGCCUCAUCGAGACUUCAUUACAUUUGUGUUCAGGAUUUCAAGAAAAUUUCUACUUUCCCCCAACCCAUCCUAUGCAGAAAGACCCGUCCCAGUUAGGGGACCAGCACGGGAGACCCUGGUGUGCCUUUUUGCUCAUAGGGGAUUUGAUGCCUAGAGAGCUGGAUGCCCAGGUGUCAGGGCAGGCUCAGCUCCCCGAGGGCGGGGACUCCAGACGCUGUGUUCCUGCUCCCUCAAGCGUCCCACAGACCCUCUGAGUGAGUGAAUAUCACAGAGAAGUCCAGCGAUGGAGCAAAAAACCCAAGACAGACAUUUGGGCCAAUGACGGGAUUUUUAACAAGCUACGGCCAGACUUGCCUAAUGAUUAGUACAAGAUAUAAAAUUGAAAAUGAUGUCGUCUAUAAACUGGAUUUUGCCUUAAAGGAAACAGACAUACAUGUAAACAAGGGGUAAGUGCAUUUGAUACGGGAUAACGUUUCAUUUUUUUCAAGCUGUGUCUGUUCCAGCAAAGGGUGAAUCCCUUCUAAGCUUAUCUAACUGUCGCAGAAGCAAUCAGAGAGCUCAUCAGAUUCUGGCCUAGAAUUCUUCUUUAUAAAGGUGGAGAAAAUUAUGCCUACUAAGAAUUCCAUUUCAGUUCAAUCUGCUCUCAGCUCUGUAGAGCAUCUGAAGUGGGAACAAUAGAGAGGAAUCAGGAGAGCUUUACGAAUAAAAGAAAUUGGGUGAGCUCAGGUGGGCGCCCUUCCGUUUUUAACACUAAGUGGGAAUGCUUUGGCAGCGACAGUAUUUUUUGCAGCAUCAAGCAAAGAAACAAAUCAUGUGAGUUUAUUUUCUUGUAUUUCAAUCUGUGUAUCGCUUGUUUUUUUGCCACACUUUCCCCCCCUAUGAAAAAUAAAGAAGGGAGUUCCCAUUGUGGCUCAGCAGUAAUGAACCUGAUGAGUAUCCAUGAGGAUGAGGGUUUGAUCCCUGGCCU